rnacentral:rRNA from 1 species
UACGUAGGGUGCAAGCGUUAAUCGGAAUUACUGGGCGUAAAGCGUGCGCAGGCGGUUUUGUAAGUCUGUCGUGAAAUCCCCGGGCUCAACCUGGGAAUUGCGAUGGAGACUGCAAGGCUAGAAUCUGGCAGAGGGGGGUAGAAUUCCACGUGUAGCAGUGAAAUGCGUAGAGAUGUGGAGGAACACCGAUGGCGAAGGCAGCCCCCUGGGUCAAGAUUGACG